UACGGAAUGUGCAAACGUUAUUCGGAAUCACUGGGCUUAAAGAGUCCGUAGGCGGCUUGUUAGGUGAGGUGUGAAAGCCCUCGGCCCAACCGAGGAAUUGCGCUUCAAACCGGCAAGCUAGAGGAGGAUAGAGGUGGGCGGAACUGAUGGUGGAGCGGUGAAAUGCGUUGAUAUCAUCAGGAACACCGGAGGCGAAGGCGGUCCACUGGGUCCUUUCUGACGCUGAGGGACGAAAGCUAGGGGAGCGAAGCGGG
rnacentral:rRNA from 1 species